CAUGCAGUCGAACGGGAUUCACCUUCGGGUGAUGAGAGUGGCGCACGGGUGAGUAACGCGUAUGCAACCUUCCCCAAUCAGGGGGAUAGCCCGGAGAAAUCCGGAUUAAUACCCCAUAUUAUUAUAGUUUCGCAUGGGACUUUAAUGAAAGCUUUGGCGGUUUGGGAUGGGCAUGCGUGGCAUUAGCUUGUUGGUGAGGUAACGGCUCACCAAGGCGACGAUGCCUAGGGGUUCUGAGAGGAUGAUCCCCCACACUGGUACUGAGACACGGACCAGACUCCUACGGGAGGCAGCAGCGAGGAAUAUUGGUCAAUGGGCGCAAGCCUGAACCAGCCAUCCCGCGUGAAGGAAGACUGCCCUAUGGGUUGUAAACUUCUUUUGUACAUGAAGAACGGGCCUUACGUGUAAGGUUAUGACGGUAAUGUACGAAUAAGCAUCGGCUAACUCCGUGCCAGCAGCCGCGGUAAUACGGAGGAUGCGAGCGUUAUCCGGAUUCAUUGGGUUUAAAGGGUACGUAGGUGGCCCUGUAAGUCAGUGGUGAAAACCUGCCGCUUAACGGUAGGCGUGCCAUUGAUACUGCGGGGCUUGAGUACAGAUGAGGCAGGCGGAAUGUGUAGUGUAGCGGUGAAAUGCAUAGAUAUUACACAGAACUCCGAUUGCGAAGGCAGCUUACUAAACUGCAACUGACGCUGAUGUACGAAAGCGUGGGUAGCGAACAGGAUUAGAUACCCUGGUAGUCCACGCCGUAAACGAUGCUCACUGGCUGUAUGCGAUACACAGUAUGUGGCCAAGCGAAAGCGCUAAGUGAGCCACCUGGGGAGUACGCCGGCAACGGUGAAACUCAAAGGAAUUGACGGGGGCCCGCACAAGCGGAGGAACAUGUGGUUUAAUUCGAUGAUACGCGAGGAACCUUACCUGGGCUUAAAUGGGGGAGUGACGGACGCUGAAAGGUGUCUUUCUUCGGAA
rnacentral:rRNA from 1 species